rnacentral:rRNA from 1 species
AACGAACGCUGGCGGCGUGGAUAAGACAUGCAAGUCGAACGGGUUUUCAUUUGUAGCAAUACAGGUGGGAAUCAGUGGCGCAAGGGUGCGUAACACGUGGGCAACCUGCCCUGGAGACUGGGAUAGCCCGCCGAAAGGCGGAUUAAUACCGGAUGCGGCUACCAAAGGACUCUUUGGGACGCUAAAGGUGGCGCAAGCUACCGCUCUUGGAUGGGCCCGCGGCCUAUCAGCUAGUUGGUGAGGUUACGGCUCACCAAGGCGAUGACGGGUAGCUGGUCUGAGAGGACGACCAGCCACACUGGAACUGAGACACGGUCCAGACACCUACGGGUGGCAGCAGUCGAGAAUUUUUCUCAAUGGGGAAACCCUGAAGGAGCGACCGCCGCGUGGAGGAUGAAGGUCUUCGGAUUGUAAACUCCUGUCAUUGGUGAACAAGAUU